GAAAAUUGAGACGCUUCGCAUGACCAUCGCGCCUCCCCGUCCCGUCAUGGAGGUGUGGGCGCCGGCGCCGACUUGUGAAGCACCACCCUCCGCAUCCGAAGGAGCAACCUUUGGCGGUGCCCCCGACGAAGUUAGAUUUUUGUGAGCUGACUAAGAGGGAUGAUUUCUCUAUGUCAUAAAUAUUAUUCUUGCCCGGGUCUUGUGGCAUAUAUCGAAUUAUCGACAAAACAUAAGACCGGUAGGGUGAAACCGCGGCUAAGAAUUGGAAAUAAUGCGAAGCGAAAAGAAGACACGAGCAUGUGGAAUGUCACACGCUGGCUGCUGAUGAAGGGCGACGACGAUUUAUACCCGAGAAUUUACGUUUACUUUCGAAGGGUUUUCAUAGGUAUUCAUUAAUUCAGUGGACGGUAUGCUUCUGCAUGCGAGAUAAAACGAAAUUAGCUUUUUAACUCGCUGAUCUGCAUCCAUGCUAAACUGAUCACGGGUAUGUUCGUAACAACCUCAGAGAUUGCCGUUGCGAUUCGGCCGGGAAGUUGGUUUUAUUUCGAGUCGUUGUACGUAGUACCGUGGUACUUGCAAUGAAUUGGUAAGUCUUUCCAGAAUAUUAAAUUUCUCGGCUACGCUUGUCUCAUCGUUGCGGUAGGAUGAAUUUUAAUCGGUUUGAAAAUGGCAAUGAUUCUAACAACAAUCGUUGCGGCAGUUUCGAAAAAUAUUCUUACCAUUUUCAUUUUUCCCUCCGCUACGCAGCGACAGAUUACUCGGCAUGCGCGACCAAAAGGUAUUCCAUUUCGUAGCAAUUAUAUAUUAAUGUCAAUCGCAUCGCCCUGUUUCUGGAUUGUUGAUAAUCUUUGUGCUCAUUGUACGAUACAUAGCAUCUACUUCCAAAGUCCAGCUGUAUGAGAUAUUUGGAAACUACCUUAUGAGGAUUAAAGACACAUGCAUAGUUCGAACUUGCGAUAUUCUGCUCACUGUCGGUCGGGCGUGCUCCGUUAAGAUUGUCAAAACGUUAUACCGAAUUUCGAUGCUCGAAAUCAAACCUACAAUUUUAUUCUUCAAGCCGAUGUGCUCAUGUCGCAGGCGACGAGUAAUGAAACUGAGUGACGUAUGAUUCACUUAUAAAUUGAAGUAAAAAUAAAGACUUACCAAUCCACUAGGGUACACUAAUUCCGUAUCAUCAGGGGCAUCUUAUUCAGGGAGACCGUCGCCAUGCGCGACAGUUGACCGACCCCCGAUGAUAUCGAUCAAACAGAAUGAAAUUCAGUGAAUCUUUAUACGAGUCUGUGAGAAUCCAACGAUUUUGAUAUACAUUUCUUUUCUGUUAUCAUUUUAGAUGUUCGAGGUUUUUGGGCACCUUUAUGUUUUCUGUUUCUGUUUUUUUUUUUUGUUUUUUUUUGGAGUCGUUCGCUAUUCGAUCCUCCUGUAAA